GCGGGAUUUGAGCCGACUGAAAAACUUCAGUCCAGAGAACUCCCCUUAGUUUAAACUGAGAGGAGCAUAAUACAAAUAAACCAGCAGAACUAGAAAUGGACUGGUUCCACUGCAACCAGUGCUUCACGAGGAGGGGAUCCAAGUUUGCCGUGUCCAGCUGUGGCCACAUCUGCUGUGAAGCAUGCAUCAAAACUAAGCAGUGCAGCAUAUGUGGAACAAGCUGCAGUUAUUUGCCCAUCACAGAGGAGAUGAAGCCACAGGAAAAGGUGUUUUUCAAGGACCCUGUGAAGCUCAUCCAAUCACGGCUGGAGCACAUUUUGCAGGUUGCCCUUUUUCAGCGAUCACAGAUGGAGCGAGUUACAGCGUACUUCAAGCACAAGUCUGUUGAACUGGACAAGCGUCUGAAAGAGGUCACCGAGCAGAGUUACAGGCAACUCUCCGAACUGAAGAGAGAGAAUGCUGACUUGAAAAAGCGGCUUUCAGAGCUGAAGAAGGAGACCGCUGAAUUGAAGAAGCCACUUUCUCAGAGGAGGAUUUCUCCAGGACAGUUUCUAAUGGAAGGUUCUCAAAGAAUGUCCCGUCCCGUCGCUGUCACGUCUCCAGUUACCCCUCGCUCCAGGCCGAUGAGGUAUGUAUUCCAUGUUCCUGCUAUUGUAGAGUUCGCGCUUAAUUUCCACGAUUAUGAAAACAAGAAUAUCGAGAUUAAACAAUCGCUUUUCCGCGUGCCAUGUUGCAUCGUGUUGAAUAAUGGUGAUCUCAACAUCAAUCUAAAUAAUCUUGAUUAUGAUUUGUGCCAUAAUGGAGCAGCACUAAGGUGCACUAUGUGGUACAAUCACUUAGUUUACAUUGAAGCAUGCUGUUUGAUAUGAACGUUUAUUAGGCCCAGUGGAUUCGGGUUUUGUAUGAAGUUGGUGAGUAGAAAGCCUUGAUUACAUUUUUCAAUAAAAGUCCAUGCAAAUCAUUAGAAGGUUUCCCUGAGUCCCUCUAUCUUAAAGGGAUUGGUCUCUUGAAAGCUACAAUCUCACCAUCCAAGGGGCAAGAGGGGUCAUGGAAGUGUCAGAGAAAAAGAGUAGUGUGAAUAUAAGCUCUGCCUUCACUGUCCAAGACAUCAACUGACUUGAACACCGAUGGAAGAUUUUGAAUCAAUGUGCUAGACAGCUCUCCGCCACCAUACUCAAACUCCAAAUGAAGGAAUAUCAUGAAGAGGAAUGGUGUUAAUCCCUCCCGAAGGGUUCAGUGACUUGUAUAUUUAAUGACAAAGACAUGAUGGCUCCAAACACUACAAGACAUUUUCUUGUCAUUUGUCUGAGUCUACGCUUUACAGUUGAAAUGUGAAAAUAUGUCAUAGUUCAACAUUUGGUCUCUUUUGUUUUUCGCAGUUUAGGCUCAGGAGAAACGCAGGGGUGGGCCAGAGAUAGAGGUCCUAGUCUGUCCUCCCUCAUAACUCCUGGAUCAGCUACGUCGAUUUCUAGUCACAGU